rnacentral:lncRNA from 1 species
GACAACACUUUAAAACCAGCUGUAAACUUUACCAGCUCUGCAAUUUGGUCACUAACCCUCUCUGGACUUGAGGUCUCAGCUGUGGUCAGGGAGCCGAAACAAGGCAAGAGAUCGAACUCGGGUCCUUGCACUUGCAAGGCAGGCGGCAGAACCACUGAGCUAAAUCCCUGGCCCAGAGAAUGCCCUGUUGAUGGUCUUGGGUUUGAUGAUGUGUGAUGAUACUCAUGCUCGUUAUGAGGGAUACAAGGUGAAAAGCCCUGUAUGGAGUCAGGUCCAACUGAAGAGAACUGUCAACCGGAUUCUAAUCCCAACAUCAUCAUGACCACCUUGCUGGUGACCGUGGGUGGGUCUCACUACGUAGUUCAGGCUUGAUUUGAACUCACUACAUAGGCCAGGUUGGCCUCAAACUCACAGCGAUCCUCCUGCCUCUGCCUCCCAAGAGAUGGGAUUUCAGGUCCUGCCCACUUGCCUACCUGCUUUGCCACGAUGCCCUAAUCUGCUGCCUCACUGACCAGUGCCGCGUACCUCCCUUUGCUCCUUUUAUUCUUGCCUGAUAUUUCGUGAUGAUAAACAUUUUGAUGCAGAGAUCCGGGUCAGGAUGGCCCACAGGGCAAGAAAAGCAUUUGGUUUGCAAACCCCAGCAAAAGGAAAACCUUCUUCCCGGCUCAGGGGCUUUUCUAGAAAGGCCAAACCAGACGCGUGGAAAGCAGAGGGACUGCUGACCCUUCCGCCACUCACUACCUGUGUGGUUUCUGGGGGUCACCGGUGGUAAGCAUGGGGGUUUGAGUUCACUUCACCCACAAAACCCUGUGAUUGUCAAGUGCAGGCUUUCGCCACAGAAUCGUAACCCUGGAAAGGGUUUGUCUUUUGAAAAUAAUGUCUUAGCUUGAUCUCAGCGCUAGAAUUUGUUUUUUAUUUAUUUAGGGUUUUUUGUGAGACAUUGUCUUGCUAUGUAGUUCAGGCUGGCCUCGAACUCACAGUAUUGCUGCUGCCGCCUCAGCCUCCCAAGUGCUGGGAUCAGAGGCAUGGGCAACCAGGCCCAGUUUAGAAUGUAUUCUGGACAGUGUUUCAUGUGCCGGUUAAGCCUAGUGGGUUGGACACAUGCUCACCUGCAUUCUGCUUUCAAGUUCCAUUUAGCGAUGAGGACAAAGAAAAGGACCCACAGACCUGGGUCAGAAGGAGGAGAAACUGGGAGGCCCGUAGCAGGAGAAGCCAGCAAGCCAACCCUGCCCCACUUUCUGGGAGUGAAGGCGGAGUGAGCAUGAUUAAACAGAAGUCUGAUGAAUGAAGACGAAGUCCUGCUCCCAGCGACUUCCUCUCUCCCUUGCCACCCUGCAGGAUACUGGGAGGAAAAAGUCAACCUGUGACCCAGUCACCUAGCAGUGUAGUCCAACAGGUCACAGGCCCUCGUCCCUCUGUGAGAGAGACCACAAAAGAUGGACAAAGAAACCGAACAGACAGAGACCGUUCAAGGAACAAAAGAAGUCUAAUAAUUUUUCGCAGAGACUUACUCAGGUGUCUGCUAAAAUGUCUCUUCAUCCAAGUCCUUUCCUGCCCCCCCCAAUCGUGUCUUUUAUUACUCAGCCUUAUUUCAGACACAGAGAACAGCGGGAUGGAGGGGAGAAAACUAUUAAGAUGAGUAAUACGAAAACUUUCCCAGAGCUGAAGGGCCUGGGCUUCUUGUUUGAAAGGACCAUUGAGUCCCAGGCACAAUGCAGGGGAGAAGACCCCCAUUCGGGUGCAGGCAUCACCAUGAAAUUCAGAACCCACGAUAAAGAGAAGACUUUAAAAGCUUCCCAAGAGAUAAAAUAGUAGGCUUUUACAAAGGAUCAGCAACCAGAAUUGCUCUGGACUGCUCAAUAAAAACAUCAGAAGCUACGAGAAAAUAGAGCAAGGCAUCAAAAUCCCAAAGGAAAAGGAUUCCAACCUGUCAUCCUAGGUUCAGCUCAAUUAUCAAUUAAGGAUUGAAGGGAAAUAAAGACAUUUUUAGAUGUGCAGUUUCUCAAAAGGCACGCUUCCUGCGCUCUUGGAAUAAACCAAGAAAGAAGGUGACAGGGGAUCCAGGGGAGUCCAUAACAUAAGAGAACCAACCAGUCUGGAUUGAAGGAGGGGGGAGAAAGAGGGAGAGAGAGAGAGAGAGAGAGGAAGUUCCAUGAGGAAGGUAGAAGGAACAGAUUAUCUAAAUUGCUUGAUAUGAGAGAAUUUUCUUAUUUAUUAAUUUUUUUGGUACUGGGGAUCGAACUUGGGACCUUGUGCUUUUGAGGCAGGUGCCAGAACCAUGGAACUAAAUCGCCAGCCCUGAGAAUUUUUAUUUUUUGCUAUGUAGUUCA